UGACUUACCUGGCAGGAGAGAUACCAAGAUCAAGAAGGCAGUUCUCCCAGGGCGAGGCUCUGCCAUUGCACUCCGGCUGUGCUGACCCCUGUGAAUUCCAUAAAUGUGGGAAUCUUGACUGCAUUAUUUUUAUGAGGGUAGUGGUGGCCUUGUG
ensembl:snRNA U1 U1 spliceosomal RNA